UCCGGGAGGAGAGAUUUAGCUCCCGCCCGGAUUUAGCUUCUCCCACCGGGCUCCAUCCAUCACCUCCCGCCCCCCCCCCCCCCCCCCCCCCACCUCUCCACGAUGGGGCUGGGCUGCUUAAAACCCUCGGUCAGUCUCCUCCCCGUCUUUCUUCUCCCCCCCCCCCCCCCCGCCCCGUCCGACACCCCCUCCGGGGGGAGGCAGGGGGAGAUGCGGUCGGGGAUGCGGGAGAAGGCGGCGGCCGGGUCGGGACCCCCCCUUCCCUCCCCGUGGGGGCGGAGGAGAUGAUAAGGAGGUUAGAGCAGUCCCGAAGAGGUGGGGGGGGGGGGGGAGAAGGUGAAAGGGGGGGGGGGGGGAGAAGUUUACACAGCCUGGAAGGUGAGAGACAGCGAUGCUCUGGCCUGGAGCAAAAAUCUUUGUCCCGCAGCUGCGUAUCCAGAUGUGCUGCGUUUUGGAAACGCAUCUCCCUCUUCACGCCUUGCAAAAUCCCUGGCAAUUUUCUCUACCAAAGCAGCACUUUGCUGAAGUUUCGUGGAAUUCCUACUGAACACCAGCGCUUUACUUAAAAAAAAAAAAACAAAACAACAAUCCAAUUAAACCCGAUUAAAACCGCCCGAGCAGCUCUACCAGGAGCAGAGACGAUUUCAAGGACCUGCCUUGGCUUUGCCUUUUCCAGGAAAAAAACAUAUAAAAAUAAUAAAGAAAUCCCGUGGUGGGUUUUGAGUGUGCGUGGCCGGAUCCAGCCUCUUUCUGCGGGGAAAUAUCGGUCCUUAGUGCCGAGCAUCGCAUCGCGGGGGGGUGCGCACCCCGAAAAAAACCCCAGUGCCGUGAGGAGCGGAGCCGAGCCCCAGCCUGGUAUAAACAGCCGGGAGGGAAAAGAUGGAUUUCGGACACGUUUUUUUAUCCCGAAAAAACAGAGGAUGGGACACAGGAGAGUGCAGCGACAAAAAAAAAAAAAAAACAACAAAAAAAACAACCCUUAAAAAAAUAAAUCCCUGCUCUGCACUCGGAGGAGCUUUUUUUUUUUUUCUUUUCUUCUGCGAUUUACACAGUGCGCUUGCCGGCAAAGCGAGGCGGUGAACGAAAUCUGGCUGAAAAUAACCCUGCGGAACAAACCUCGGCCUUUCCACUCUCCUUUCC
rnacentral:lncRNA from 1 species